UCAUCACAUUUAACAGCACAACCUAGAUAAUCUUCAUUUCUCCCAUUCUCUCCUAUCUUCCCUUAUUUGAAGAAAAGUUCCUUCCUUUUCCAUUUACAUUCUUUCUUAUUUAUUUAUUUUUCAAGCAAAAUCAUAUUUUCCAAGCAAGGUCUUGGUUUUGGUGACCAAUUUCUGUACAAAAAGGGUUAUACAUUUUUGUGGCUGUUUUAUCUUGGGGACGCUGUGGUAACUUCAAAACUGCUGCACAAACUAGGGCAAUAUUGCGAAACGUCCUAAAGAAAACGAGCUUUGCAACUAACAAGUUUUUAUUUUACAGUGUUCUAAUUUAGUGAAAGUUUGGUUGUUAUUUUCAUUUAUUGACGGUUGGAGAAUUCUAGCGACAACAAUUUUAAUACGAUUCAUCUAUUUUGAUGGCUUUAACACAUUCCAAUGUGAUGUCAUCUAAACUCAACUAUUUGUUUCGUUUUGAAGGGAUAAAUUUCAAAAGAUGGGGACAAAAGAUGUUCUUCCUUACGGUCAUGAAAGUUGUUGAUGUGUAAGACCUGUACCAAAAUUAAAAGCAAAGAAGUAAAAUUUUGGUUAAGUGUUUUGAAUUAGGCGUUUUGAAGUAAGGUUAGGUGAUAAUGAGGGGAGGACUAAGAUAGUUUGCGAGGAAGAUUCAAGUGUUACUAUGUGAUUAAGGCAUUGAGUGAGAAGAAGGACUAGGCGAGAAGAAGAAAGGAAACAUCUCAGAGAUUUCCUAAGUUUACUUAAUGGGCCAUGUGUAAGAGUUAAACUAAACAUGAUUAGGCUAAACUUUAAGCUUACAUGUACACUGCCAAGAAUAGUAGCUGGCAAGAGGACAAGAGUUUAAGGAUGACUAAGCUCGGUUAGGAAGUAGUAUAAAUAGUGGGAGGUAAGACCUUAGUUAUUAAUUUUCUGCUCAAUUCAAGAGGAGAUCUCAAGACUUGAAGUGUUGACAUUUUGUCUACGCGAGAAGAGGAAAGUAGGAGCAAUCCAGGUUUAAGGUUAAGUUUGGAGUUAGUCGUUAAGACCAAGUAAGAGAAGUUUGAAGGGCUUGCUAGGCAGGAAGGUUGCCAAGACGUUUUAUUCUUUAAAGUUUUAAGAUUUGUGUAUGUAUUAGUUGUAAAGUUAUUGUAAAAUGCUCAAUGAAGUUUAAUAAAGUUUUAGUUUGGUUA